AUAAAAUGGAUGAAAUAGCAUUCACAGGGCACAAGAAUAAAGUAUCCUCUAGAGGCCUGGUUUUUAACGAAUGCAAUUCUUUUCCAUCCAUCUAUCUUCUUAGGUGACAAUAUUGUAACACUUUGGUGAUUAAAAAACAGUGACGCUAACUCUCAAUGGGAAAGAAAGCUUCCUGUUUCUGUGUUGCCCAGUUUUCAUAUCUAGAAACAGUUUAAGAAAUAUAUUGAAAAUAAAGAUGUGAGGAAAAAUAAUAGACGGUAAAUUUGUUCUCCACAGUCUGUAUGUCUCUGGUUUCCUGUAUACAGUUCCUGUUCACUUGGAAGUUCUUACAUAAGCCUACCACUUAUUUCUCCCUCAGAAUCAAUCCUUUGUCUCAGCUUCUGUCCCACAGAUACAGGCAGCUGGCAUGCCUCUAAAUUCUCUCAAAGUUUUUAGUCACUCUGACCUUCUAAUGUACGAAUGUCCCGAAAAGUCUUGAGCUUCUAACUUCGUAGCAAACUUCUCAUUUUGGUUGUCAAACCCAGUUAUUCCCCAGAGUUCCCAUUUUCUUCUGUCUACUUACAAACAUUGUCAGUAAGAGUGUCUCUCUCAUCCCAAGGCCCUCUUCCUUACACAGUUCUCUGUGCAUUGUCUGUUUUCAAGCUCCUGGAACUUUGGUUUUAAAUUUACUCUUGCCCUUUGAGGUCUUGACCUAGAGCAGACUUUCUCAGCAGGGGACUGUUUUUCACUCUAUCCAAAAGGGGACGCCUGGCAAUGUCUAAGACAUUUUUGGUUGUCACAAGUGCAGAAGGAGGUGAUACUAUUGUCACCUAGUGGGUAGAGGCCAGAGAUGCUUCUAAACAUCUUGCACUGCACAAAGAGAGUCCCACAACAAAGUGCCAGUAAGGCUGCUUAUGCUGAGAAAUUCUGCUCUACAAUCUAGACAUUUAGCUUAGAGUCUUUAUUCUCUAACACUAAAGAUUAUACACUGUUCAGUGCUAUUGACUUGAAACAAACACUAUUCUUGACUUAUUCACUAAGCAAAAAAUAAAUUGAAUUAACCAACAUUAAUUGAGCACUACUACCAGCAAAGUCCUGGGAUAGGUACCUGGCAAUGCCAGAAGAAACAAGGAGGAUAUACUACUGAUCUCAUGGCAUUUACAACCUAGAUGAGUUGAAAGCUGUGGCUAGCUAGCUAGUUAUCAGGGUAAAGGAAAAGCAGUUGUCUCAUUUGAGGUGUAUAUAUGCACACACAUAUAUAUAUAUAGAGAGAGAGACAUGGGUGGAUAGAAAUGUAUAUGUGAAGAGGAAAGGAAAGAAGAGAGAGGAAGGGAAAAUACUUAAUAUUACACAUUAUUGGGCAGUAUUUCCCCCCAUCAGGAGAUCUGCAAAAUUUAACCAGAGCUCAAACACUGAGCUAGAAUAGUUCAUUUUUCCUAAGAGAAGGGGGUUAAAAUAGACUUUAGGAAAUUCCUAUUCAUAGAAUUCUUAAGUAAAUAAUCCAUUGACCUAACUGCUUAACAUAAGACUUUAAUCUUUGUAAGUAAACAGGUUUUUAUCACAGGUUGCACCAAAUAAGUAGAAUCAGUAGCUAUGCUGGGACUUAGAGAAGCAGAAGACUGAAAAGCCCCUGGGGUUUCUUUACCCUUCAAAAUACCAUCUGUUGUCAUGAGAGCAAGCUUACGGGAAGAGACGCUCAUGUACUAAGCUUUAAUAGUAUUCUAAUGUGUAAUGUAAAUUUACAUAAUGUAAAUGUUUAUGCAUUCUUCGGUAAAGUCCUUUUCUAGUUUGAUUUCAUAGACCAAAGUGUACGUUUCCUUGAGAAGUUGGAAAUAACAGUAUUUUCAUUUGAAAAAGAAGUUAUGAUAGCCACAUAAAAAAUUAUCUUUUUCAAUCCAUUAACUCUAAGGAAUCAAAGAUCUUGCACAUUCAGACACCUCAGAAUGUAUACUUUGUGACUGUUACAACAAUAUCAUACCCUAUUACAUUUCAUAGACUAGCCUAUGAGCUAAUGGCCCAUCGCACAGAAAAGACCCCUGCUACGUUCUAGCUUUACUAAGAGGUUCCUGAGGGCCAACAGAAGGCCAAGUUCAGAUAUGGUCAAUCUGAGACCUUCUGAAGAAGGUCUGUAUUUAUGGUGAAUCAAAAUUAGGCAGACCAAACUGAGUAUGUCCCUAAGUAUAACUGAAAAUUCCUAUCACUAGUCCUCAACUCUAGUGUGAUGUUCUCAGUCUUUCCUGUGCAUUUGAAUCACCUGAGGAUCUUGUUAAAAAUGCACAUUUUGAUGCAGCAGGCUUGGGGUGGGACCUGAGAAGCACGUUUUCCUACCAGGUAAUGCAGGAGCUGCUGACUGUAGGACCACAUUGUCAGUAGCCAGACACUAACAUAUGAAGUCCUGUGUUUUUAGAAGUUAGUCACCAUCUAAGUUUUCCAACAAAAAAACAGGUCCUAUGAGCCUCUACCUCCCACUGCUUAAGCAGGAAUUGGAGUGUCACCAUGUAUCCACUCUGGUCACAGGCAGGGAAAAGGUAUGACUUGGGGAACACACCUUGAAAUAAACAUUAAAAACCCUAAUUUUUGAGGGCAUAGUCAGAUUAAUAUCUCAGAACAGGCCAGAGAAGCUUUGUGUGAAGUAUGCAGAUCCCUGUGUAUUUACUGACAAACCAGAAUAUCUUGACCAGGCAGAGCUACCUAACACCACCCCGUAGUCUGGUUGUAUUAAAUAUUAUGCAGUAAUUUAAAUAUUACUUUUUAUUAAGCCAGCACUUCGACUUCCUUAAUCUGCUGUAAAUGAAGGAAACUUUUUUUGAAUGUUCAAUUAAAUAUGGUGUGCUUAGAAGCAUUGAACAGCAUUGCACCAAAUAUUGUGCCAAAUUUUAGAAAGUAGUUUCUGAUUUCAAAUAGCACUUAAUCUAAUUGGAUAUGGGAGCUGGAUUAUGUGCAGUCGGAGCUUUAUGAAACUUUUUUCUGGGCCUUGGAAGACAGAGGAGAUUGCAAAGUCAAAGAGGAAGAUAAAGAACAACUCUCUUUAAGUCGGGAGAAGAGACAAGGUACAUUGGCAAGAGGCCCCGACCUUCAUCUUGAAUCUCAGUGUUUUUCCUUUACAAGUUAACCCCAGCCACACCUGAGACAAGGCAGCCUUCAUCAGUGAUGUAGAGUCCAAAAGGCACCCGAUACUUCAACCUCCCCAAAUAGGAACUGAGGCAAUAGGUAACCCUGGUUCCAGUGCAUGGAGGAGAGAUGUGGCCCAUUUAAGAAAGCAGGAUGGCGACAGUCAGGACAGGUCAGACAUUGGAACCAGACGCACUGACUGCCCCAGGGGACCUGAGCCGGGUGUGAACCCAGGCUGUGGUCAGCAUGGACCUGGCCACAGGGCGUGGUCAGAAAUUAGGAGAAUCAGAGGUCCAGGGAUCUUCCUAAAGUUCCAAAGCAUCUGCUUCCCAACUGCCAUGUCUAAUUAAACCCAGGGUCAAAGUCCUCUUUUUCUUCAUCCACUUUUUUAUUUCAGUUAAGGUAAGUAUGGUUGAUGACUGACUGGCAUUUCUUCCAUUUAUUUCUAAAUGACAGUUGUGUGAAAGGUUUACAUGUACUUGUGCCAAUAAGUUUUUUUUUUUUUU